UGGUCGUAGUUAAAUUAACACCGAUAGGUUAAUUGGCUGUUUGUCAUGAGAUCUUACAAUCUCUGUUAGUGAAUCAGCCUCCAGAGCCUCUCACACUU